rnacentral:rRNA from 1 species
GACGAACGCUGGCGGCGUGCUUAACACAUGCAAGUCGAGCGGUAAGGCCCUUUCGGGGGUACGACGAGCGGCGAACGGGUGAGUAACACGUGGGUGACCUGCCCUCAGCUCUGGGAUAAGCCUGGGAAACCGGGUCUAAUACUGGAUAUGACUCCAUGACGCAUGUUGUGGGGUGGAAAGCCUUGUGCGGCUGGGGAUGGGCCCGCGGCCUAUCAGCUUGUUGGUGGGGUGAUGGCCUACCAAGGCGACGACGGGUAGCCGGCCUGAGAGGGCGACCGGCCACACUGGGACUGAGACACGGCCCAGACUCCUACGGGAGGCAGCAGUGGGGAAUCUUGCGCAAUGGGCGAAAGUCUGACGCAGCGACGCCGCGUGAGGGAUGACGGCCU